GAAUGUUUCUUAUGUCAGACAACCGUGCAGGUUGCAGAUUACCGCAGACCCUUCAAAAAAGCCUUUAAUGUGAUUCCCAGGAGGAUCAGCCUGUGAAUAUCUGCCACACAGAAGACAGCAGUGGCUGGAUUACAAAAGCACCAAUGAUACCUGUUCUUGAAUUUGAGGAACCUGCUGAGGUUAACAAUCAUGGAUAUUCUCAUACUAUAUCUGAAAUAGGGAAGAUGCUGAAAAACAGUUGGCUGUCAUUUUUCCAGUGACUUCGGAAAACUGCGCUGAGGCUCCUGAUCCCAGUGUCUUUCAGCCCUGGUUUGUUUCCCUGGGACAUCGGAUGUAAUUUGUUCUAACACUAUACUUCUCCAGUAAAGGAGAACCAUCUAUUCAGGUCUGUCUGUUCCAGCUCAUUCUACAUAGGAAAAGCAAUAAGGAAGCUAUUUUACAUUGCUUUCAUCACCAGAUUCAAUGGCUUCAGGACCAGAGACAGAAAAG